AGCCUAAACCAACGAGCAAUUGCUGGCACGGCUAAAAGUCCAGUUAGACAUAAAAAACCCAUCAUGGGGUCGUCUAACUGGCCAUAUCGGGAAACCGGUAUGAGUGGCUUCGGCCACU
rnacentral:sRNA from 12 species